rnacentral:lncRNA from 1 species
CAAAAUAAAUCAUGCUAUCGAAAUUUACAAUAUAAUUUUAUUUUUGUGAAAUCUUUACUGGUGUAGCAAUUUAAAAAAAAAAUGUAUCAAAAAUCUGUGAAUUUUCAGUCAUUGGAAAAUAAAUGGAUAAACUGGAGUAUACAGUUAUAUAGUUCCUUGCUGACUAUCUUCUUUUGUUAAAUAUGUGAUACAGUUGUCAAGUUGACAGUAGAAUCUUGAAAAAAAAAUUCACAGGAAGACAACAAGUUUACUUUUAAAAAAUUGUCUACAUUCACAGCUCAACAAGUUUCAAGUAAGGUUAGGGUUAGGCAUAGAGUUAAUACCCAUGCACCCAUGCAAGUGUAAGGAUUAUGAUUAAGGAUGAUUGCUCGUCAUGUUUUGGAAUUUUUUUGGCAGAUUUUCAAAAUCCUCUGGUUUUAUCCAUUAAAAAUUUUGCCCAUUUUUCUUUUUAUAAAUCUAUUACAUGCAUAAUUAUAAGCCAUUUGUAAAUGUCUUAUAAAAUCUAACCUUUUUUUUAAUAGUUUUUGAGAACUUUUAACUGGUCAAUGAUGAAGCUAUGAAAAAUCAAGAGCCCCCCUCAGAGAACAUUUUCUCGCCAAAAUUCCAAUGGCUAAUAUCUUGAAAACAAGCACAUUGACCCCUAUAUUUUUUUUUUUUGCUUUUUUGAUUCCUCAAUUAAUCCCCUAUCAAUAUAUACUAGUUUUAUGGAAAGUUAUUUAUUUUAAAACUGAGCAGCAAACUUCCUUAAGGGUUAGAUUAAGGAUGAGGGUAAGGGUUAAAGUAAAGGAUGAUAGUGAGUUUAAGGGUUGAGGAAAUGCUCUAUUAAGGUAGCACAAUACAAAGAUUUUUUCACUCCCAAUCAGACAACUUUAAACUGAUGUAAUUCAUUUCAUCCUUCUUUAUAUUUUAUAAAUGAGGUACCAAAAGAAAGAAGAAAGAUUAUUCUGUGUUGUGCAAGAAUCUAUAAAAUAUUUUGGGAUGCUAUGAAUAACAAAGAAGCUAAAUUCAUU